rnacentral:rRNA from 1 species
GGUCAGAACGAACGCUGGCGGCGCGUUUAAGCAUGCAAGUCGAGCGGCAAGGGCCUUCGGGCCCCUAGAGCGGCGGACGGGUGAGUAACACGUGGACAAUCUGCCCCCGGCCCGGGAUAGCCCAGGGAAACCUGGAUUAAUACCGGAUGAGACGGGACCCGCGAAGGCGGGACCCGGGAAAGGCGCUGCGGCGCCGCCGGGGGAUGAGUCUGCGUCCCAUUAGCUAGACGGCGGGGUAACGGCCCACCGUGGCGACGAUGGGUAGCCGGCCUGAGAGGGUGGACGGCCACAUUGGAACUGAGACACGGUCCAGACUCCUACGGGAGGCAGCAGCUAAGAAUCUUCCGCAAUGGGCGAAAGCCUGACGGAGCGACGCCGCGUGAGCGAAGAAGGCCGUGAGGUUGUAAAGUUCUUUUCGGGAGGGGGAACAACCGUGGCAGGGAAUGGCCGCGGGAUGACGUGAAUCCCGGAAUAAGCCCCGGCUAACUACGUGCCAGCCGCAGC